rnacentral:rRNA from 1 species
UACGGAGGAUCCGAGCGUUAUCCGGAUUUAUUGGGUUUAAAGGGUGCGUAGGCGGCCUAUUAAGUCAGGGGUGAAAGACGGUAGCUUAACUAUCGCAGUGCCUUUGAUACUGAAGAGCUUGAAUGAACUAGAGGUAGGCGGAAUGUGACAAGUAGCGGUGAAAUGCAUAGAUAUGUCACAGAACACCAAUUGCGAAGGCAGCUUACUAUGGUUUUAUUGACACUGAGGCACGAAAGCGUGGGGAUCAAACAGG